UCUCCUGCUCCUUGGAUGCUGCCUGACCGGCUGCACUUUUCCAGCAACACAUUUUCAGCUUUGACAAGAGCUAGGCAGGUCAUUUCACUCAUCUUUGUUGACUAUCCAGAAAUAUCUGACUUUCCUGUUCCGUUAUCCAACUUUUGCAUCCAUCUCGCUGCGGUGGUUUAAUUUGUUCUAGAUGUAUAUUUUCUAUUUCAGUCGACAUUUUUAAGUGUUACUACAAGGUCAUGUCUCAGUCAAUUACUUUCAGUGGUGAAAACUCAGAAGAAAGUUGCUGAUACAAUGAAGACUCAAACUGGCUAAGUAUCAAUCUUGCGCAUCAUUUUCUGUCGUUGGAAUAUUACAGCCAAAGUCACAGAACAGCUUCUAGUACGUGAAUCAGCCUUACGUGAUCCUUUUUCCUCCUAAACUCUGCCCAACUAUUUGGGAAUUAAUACAAAAAAAAACCUUUUUUAUAGUAGUCCCAGAACAAAAAAACAAUUGGCACCAAGUCAUAAUAGAGCAGGUGGCGAAAAAUUCGGUCGGAGGCAUGAUUUGAGGAUUUAUAGGAAGAGAGGGGGGUGAACGGUUUAAAGAAAUUGAGAUUAGUCAACUGAACGCACUGACCUGUGGGAUGCACCGGUGACCAGAGUCAGAAGCAGAAAUGUAAUCCCAGAGAAAUUUCAGAGAUUAAUAAACAUAAGGAUAAAAAUGUUAUCGUUCUACUCCAUAUAAACUAUACAUUUCAGCAUAGAAACAUAGGAACAGAAAUAGACCAUUCGGUCCCUUCAGCCGGUUAUGUCAUUCAGUGAAAGCAUGGCUGAUUUGUGGUAUAUACCUUUGGCCUAUAUCACUUAAUGCCUUUGCUUAACAAAAAAAAACCAUCUAUCUCAAAUUUAAAUUAACAACUAAUCUAAUAUCAACUGCUCUUUGUGGAAAAGAGUUCCAAAUUUCUACCAUCCCUUGUGUGUAGAAGUGCUUUCUAACAUCUCUUUUGAAUGGUCUGGUCCUACAUUUGAGUGUGCCCCCUAGUUUUAGAAUCCCCAACCAGCGAAAUAUUUUGACUUUAUCUACCUUGUCUUUCCCUGUUAUAAUAUCAAUACCACCCAUAUUGAGCUGUUUUUGCAUUAGAAUUGAUUUUUAAACACAAAUGCAUAAUAUAGCACAAUUUUGUCAUUAAGAUACUAAAACUAAAAAUGGUCUAUGUUUGUUUAAUAUCUAGGAAAGAAUGAUAUAAUUUCAAUUAAAUUGUGCAGAUGGAUUGAAUUUAAUAUGACUUUAUUAAAUCGUUAUUCGUAAGAUAUUUAACCACCUAAAGCAGUUUGCUAAAUCCAAUCCUGCUACAGUUAUGCACACAUAGAUUUCCUGGUUGCAGGUAUUGGAUCAGAGGAACAUCAGCUGAUUUUCCCCCUCCCUGGGCUCAUUGUGGCACAGUAGCAAUACACCUGCCACUGCUCCAACUGAAAUAAAGUUGCUAGUGUGGAAUGCCAAACCCUGAUGAGCCACGUUAGCAUCUAAAUCCUGGAACCUGCAUCAACCAUUCCUGUCCGUGCUCUAUCCAUGUCUCCAAAGUGGCCACAACAAGGAAAUGAGAUCGCACCAUUGAAAUUCAUAAGUACGUACAAUGGCAUUCUGGAUACCGAUGUACUGUAUAGAUCAGUGGUUUCCAACAGAGAAAUUUUCAAGAAGUAGAGUCACAUCCAAGCAUUAAGACCGUGACUAUUCUUCUGAUAUUCUCCAGAGCCUCAGUGUCUAUUAUUGAAGACAAUAUCUGCUGACAUCCGGUGCCCCUAUCAACUGUAAGCCACCAGAGCUAGGGAUGUAUAGACUUCUGGUAUCGUGCACACCAGCAGGCCCAGGUUUCCACUAACCUGGUAAAUUACAAAUUGCUCCACUUUAUGUUUUGCUCUAUUGUUUAUGAAUAGUUAGACAUUGUUGAUGUGAGCAGAAUUUGAAAAUGUGUGUUGUGCUCGCAGUUGGAGAUGGUGUAUUUUUGCUCAUCGAUUUUAUUCCUUUCUUAGUUUGCUAUGUGCAUUAUAGUACAAGCAAGGUGGAUAAUGGGGAUUCUGUCGUUGGAAUGUAUCUAUACUUACAGAGGGCAUUUGAUCCUGGCAGAGGAUUGGUUAAUCAAUAGCAAGCAGAUAUUCGAGAUAAAUGGAUCUUUUUCUUGGUAGGAAAGAUGUAAGUACGUAGUGGCAAAUGUAGUGGGUUCAGUCUUUGGGGCUCCAACUACUUAUAAUCUGAAUUCAUGAAUUAGGUGCAGGAAUAGAAAGUACAAUAGCCAAAUUAGAAGAUGACACUAAAAUAAGUGAGAAAGCAAGUUGCAAUGAAGAAAUAAGAAAUUUAAAAUAGAUAUGAAUGGAAAAAAAUGACAGAUGAAGUUUAAAGUGGAAUGAGUGUGGGAGAUUAUCAAUUUUGGUCAGAGGAACAGAAAGGCAACUUAUUAUCUAAAUGGAGAGAAACUUCAGAAUGCUUUGAAGCAAAGUGAUCUGAGUGUCCUUGCAAGAAUUGCAGAAAACUAAUGUGCAAAUACAGCGGGUAAUAAGGAAGGCAGAUGGAAUUUUGGCAUUCAUUUCUUAGGGAAUAAAAGUGUUGCUGCAACUGUAUAAGACAUUAAUGAGAUUGCAUCUGGAGUAUUGUGUACAAUUUUGGUGCCCUUACUUGAGGAGUGAUAUAGUUCCUUUGGAGGCACUUAAGAGGAAAUUCAUGAGAUUGAUUCCACAGUUUAUCUUAUGGAAAGAUGAUGUGGAGGAGCCGGUGUUGGACUGAGGUGGACAAAGUGAAAAGUCACACAACAACAGGUUUAUUUGGAAGUGCU